UAUCAACUUUCGAUGGUAGGAUAGAGGCCUACCAUGGUGGUAACGGGUAACGGGGUGUUAGGGCACGACACCGGAGAGGGAGCCUGAGAAACGGCUACCACAUCCAAGGAUGGCAGCAGGCGCGCAAAUUACCCAAUCCCGACACGGGGAGGUAGUGACAAUAAAUAACAAUACGGGGUUCUUUCGGAUCUCGUAAUUGGAAUGAGUACAAUUUAAAUCUCUUAACGAGGAACAAUUGGAGGGCAAGUCUGGUGCCAGCAGCCGCGGUAAUUCCAGCUCCAAUAGCGUAUAUUAAAGUUGUUGCAGUUAAAAAGCUCGUAGUUGAAUUUCGGGAUCAGUAGGUCGGUCAUGCCUAUGGUAUGUACUGGCUUUACUGAUUCCUCCUUCUUGAUGAUCUGUAAUGUCAUUAAUUUGGUGUUGCAGGGAGUCAGGACUGUUACUUUGAAAAAAUUAGAGUGUUUAAAGCAGGCAUACGCUUGAAUACAUUAGCAUGGAAUAAUGAAAUAGGACGUUCGAUCCUAUUUUGUUGGUUUCUAGGAUUGACGUAAUGAUUAAUAGGGAUAGUUGGGGGCAUUAGUAUUCAAUUGUCAGAGGUGAAAUUCUUGGAUUUAUUGAAGACUAACUACUGCGAAAGCAUUUGCCAAGGAUGUUUUCAUUAAUCAAGAACGAAAGUUAGGGGAUCGAAGACGAUCAGAUACCGUCGUAGUCUUAACCAUAAACUAUGCCGACUAGGGAUCGGAUGAUGUUAUUUUUAAUGACUCAUUCGGCGCCUUACGGGAAACCAAAGUGUUUGGGUUC
rnacentral:rRNA from 1 species